GGACGAACGCUGGCGGCGUGCUUAACACAUGCAAGUCGAACGGAAAGGCCCUGCUUUUGUGGGGUGCUCGAGUGGCGAACGGGUGAGUAACACGUGAGUAACCUGCCCUUGACUUUGGGAUAACUUCAGGAAACUGGGGCUAAUACCGGAUAGGAGCUCCUGCUGCAUGGUGGGGGUUGGAAAGUUUCGGCGGUUGGGGAUGGACUCGCGGCUUAUCAGCUUGUUGGUGGGGUAGUGGCUUACCAAGGCUUUGACGGGUAGCCGGCCUGAAAGGGUGACCGGCCACAUUGGGACUGAGAUACGGCCCAGACUCCUACGGGAGGCAGCAGUGGGGAAUAUUGCACAAUGGGCGGAAGCCUGAUGCAGCAACGCCGCGUGCGGGAUGACGGCCUUCGGGUUGUAAACCGCUUUCGCCUGUGACGAAGCGUGAGUGACGGUAAUGGGUAAAGAAGCACCGGCUAACUACGUG
rnacentral:rRNA from 1 species